rnacentral:rRNA from 1 species
GCGUAUAUUUAAGUUGUUGCAGUUAAAAAGCUCGUAGUUGGAUUUCGGUUGAGAACGGCCGGUCCGCCGUUUGGUGUGCACUGGCUGGUUUCAACUUCCUGUAGAGGACGCGCUCUGGCUUCACGGCUGGACGCGGAGUCUACGUGGUUACUUUGAAAAAAUUAGAGUGUUCAAAGCGGGCUUACGCUUGAAUAUUUCAGCAUGGAAUAACACUAUAGGACUCCUGUCCUAUUUCGUUGGUCUCGGGACGGGAGUAAUGAUUAAGAGGAACAGUUGGGGGCAUUCGUAUUUCAUUGUCAGAGGUGAAAUUCUUGGAUUUAUGAAAGACGAACUUCUGCGAAAGCAUUUGCCAAGGAUGUUUUCAUUAAUCAAGAACGAAAGUUGGGGGCUCGAAGAUGAUUAGAUACCAUCCUAGUCUCAACCAUAAACGAUGCCGACUAGGGAUUGCAGGAUGUUAAUUGAUGACUCCUGCAGCACCUUAUGAGAAAUCAAAGUUUUUGGGUUCCGGGGGGAGUAUGGUCGCAAGGCUGAAACUUAAAGGAAUUG